UUGUAUCUUUUUAAAAUGUUCCAAUAACUCUUCGAAAUUUAUAUUACUUUUAUAUUGUAGGGAAUGCUUUUCGUUGCUGAAAAAGAAAGGAAAAAGGGGAAAAAAUAUUAUAUUAAGGACUAACAUCUCAACCUUCGGGGAAUAUGUAAAACAUUUGAUAACUUACAUGGGCUGUUGUCCCCAGUAGUUGGGUACACAUUGUAAACGAUUCUUUAGCAUAUUAAAUGCAUCCGUUUGAGGUAGUAACAUUAGUAUUCCAAAUAAGGCAUGUGCCAAAUAUUGAGCAUCAGCACAAUUAUUUGCUUUCGAAACUAAGAAAUAUGUGUUUACAACUUACAUGCAAAAAUGGGCGUUUCUAUUAAUUGCACCAGCUUAUCCAGUUCAUUUAAAAGUUCCAAAGUUAUCUCUACAUCAGCACUGUU